rnacentral:rRNA from 1 species
GCCUAACACAUGCAAGUCGAACGGCAGCGCGAAGGAAGCUUGCUUUCUUUGGCGGCGAGUGGCGAACGGGUCGAGUAAUGUAUCGGAACGUGCCCAGUAGCGGGGGAUAACUGGCCGAAAGGUCAGCUAAUACCGCAUACGUCCUACGGGAGAAAGGGGGGGAUCGCAAGACCUCUCACUAUUGGAGCGGCCGAUAUCGGAUUAGCUAGUUGGUGGGGUAAAGGCCUACCAAGGCGACGAUCCGUAGCUGGUUUGAGAGGACGACCAGCCACACUGGGACUGAGACACGGCCCAGACUCCUACGGGAGGCAGCAGUGGGGAAUUUUGGACAAUGGGGGAAACCCUGAUCCAGCCAUCCCGCGUGUGCGAUGAAGGCCUUCGGGUUGUAAAGCACUUUUGGCAGGGAAGAAACGGCCUGGGAUAAUACCUUGGGCUAAUGACGGUACCUGCAGAAUAAGCACCGGCUAACUACGUGCCAGCAGCCGCGGUAAUAC